rnacentral:rRNA from 1 species
UUCCGGUUGAUCCUGCCGGAGGCCAUUGCUAUCGGAAUCCGAUUUAGCCAUGCUAGUCGCACGGGUCAGACCCGUGGCGAACAGCUCAGUAACACGUGGCCAAACUACCCUGUGGACGAGGAUAAUCUCGGGAAACUGAGGUCAAUCCUUGAUAGGGCUUCCAUCCUGGAGUGGAGGAAGUCCAAAAGUUGCUCUGCAGCACCACAGGAUGUGGCUGCGGCCGAUUAGGUAGACGGUGGGGUAACGGCCCACCGUGCCAGUAAUCGGUACGGGUGAUGAGAGUCAGAGCCCGGAGACGGUAUCUGAGACAAGAUACCGGGCCCUACGGGGCGCAGCAGGCGCGAAACCUUUACACUGCACGACAGUGCGAUAGGGGGAUUCCGAGUGCGAGGGCAUACAGUCCUCGCUUUUCUGGACCGUAAGGAGGUCCAAGAAUAAGGGCUGGGCAAGACCGGUGCCAGCCGCCGCGGU